GCGGAUGUGGUGAAAUUGGUAGACACGCUAGACUUAGGAUCUAGUGCCGCGAGGUGUGUGGGUUCGAGUCCCCCCAUCCGCA
rnacentral:tRNA from 1 species